UAUAUCACAACUUGUACAGAAUUGAUAUACCUUUACAGUUUUCUAGAAUAAAAAAUUUUCUCUUCAAUCAGCGCCAGCACAAAAUUGUGGUUUGGCCAUCGCCCGAUCUAUUGAAUUUUCCAUUCUUUUAUGUUUUUGGUGCGAAGGGCAAGAAACAUUCGGGAAUUCUUAUAAUGGGAGAAAGCUAAUGGUAUUUUGGUCAUCAUAGGUAUGGCCGC
rnacentral:lncRNA from 1 species